AAUCAAAUCACAUUUAUUUAUAUAGCCCUUCUUACAUCAGCUGAUAUCUCAAAGUGCUGUACAGAAACCCAGCCUAAAACCCCAAACAGCAAGCAAUGCAGGUGUAAAAGCACCUGAACGGAACCGCCAAGUACUGAAACUUGUAAAAAUUGUACUUAAAUAUCAGUUUUAUAUGAAAUGUCAUUUCCACCACUCUGUCAUUACCACAACACUAAGUCAUUACCAUCAAGGAACAUAUUUUUGAGAUAAAGGUGCAUUAAAUUACAAUUGAUAUUGAUGAUUUUUCCCAUAUGUGAACCUUUAUAUGCUUGUUCUCUAUUUUACAUUCCUUUAGAAAUUCUUAAGAUUUUGAUGUGGUAAAUACAUUUUUCUGAGUAUCAUCAAGGCAUAUUUAGACAUGACAAUGAUUAAUACAUAUGAUUAAGAAAACUUCCAAAUAGUAAAUAAAUAACAUGAAAAAAAUACAAUUCAUGUGAAAUAUUAUAUAAAAUACCAUAUGCACAAUUUCGGUAAUUUCCUUUUUAAACUAAAAUAGCACAUUUUAUGAUGUGGUGGUAAUGACAUUUCCCCUCGGCAAUUUGGUGAAAAGAUAAACAUCUUUAUAUUCUUAAAUAGUAUGGUCUCAGCCACUAUUAAAUCUUGUUUCCAGACAGUGAAGAAAAUAUUCAGAUAGAUAAAAAGCAGUUUCAAGAGGUUUCAUUUUCCAAAACAUUUAACAUCCUAAAGUUACCAUAUAUUCAACCACAAGGAGGUACUAAUGAGCUAUGCGACAUAUGUAUAUUUUUAAUCAUAAUAGAGGACUACUGAAAUUGUAUUAUUUCGGUGUUGAUAAGGGCAGGUUAAAAUAAAAACAUGACAGACAGAAAAGCCAGUGUAUCUAUCAAACUGAUUCGCAUAUGAAUGUAGUGGAAAUUAACUGACUUCGUGAUCUGUAAGGUAAGUAACUGUAAAGUGUCAAGCAGAUUACACGUUUUUGCCCCAUUUCCCGAAAGGUAGCAACAUUUAAGACAUGGAUUUCAUGUUGUAAUGUUAACAAGGUACCCAAAAGUAGUUUGAAUUAAUGUUGUUUUCAUUUUAUUAGCUAAACAAAACUUAUUUAAACAGCGAAAUUGUCGCAGAAAUCAGCCUUGUCUGCAUAACGAUGAUGAAAAGAACGUCAUUUAGGCUGUAAUGAUCUCCAAAAUUCAAAUGAUUAUGUCAUCACACCGUUGAUAUAGCAACGGACGCUAAUAGUUUAUCGAAUCCCAUUCUGACGCAGAGGAGGACAUUAUUUGGCCUGGGGACAUUAUUUGGCAUGACAGGCCCAAUGUGCCUCCUCUGGUUUCUCUCUCUCUGCAUUUGGAUUGCUGCUGUUGUAUCUGCCUGCUCAGCACUGUACAGAGCCAAUCUGUCAUGGUCACCCCUCUCACCCUCCCUCUCUCCUCUCUCUCUCAUUCCCAGUUGGAGUACUGUUCUAGUGCCCUCUCCUGGAUGACAGAGGCUCUCUUUCAGAGUAACUUGAUAAAGCCCACAUGUCCUCCACCCGCUCUGAAAUCUGACCCCUCUCUCUCCAACUAGCUGACCCAUGUCUGAUGGAGAACAGUGAAAUCUAGACACGCGCACACACACACACACACACAUUUUAGCAAUCCAUUGAUGUCGAUGAUGACGGAUGUUCCUCUUGUGGUUCGGGGAAAUGCCAAAGAUGGACUCGAUGCUCAUUCAGCCAUCCUUUCAAUGUUGUUUUUCAACUUUGAUUAUUUGAACUGCUGUCAUUUUGUAUGUGGACUAUUGUUGCUCUUCUAUGUUACACUUUGUUGUUCCUAUGUUGGUCUAGGAAUCUUGUUCCUGUGGGUUAUAGAAUGGAUGGGCAAUCUGUUCUUAAUGUAAUAUGUACAAACAUUUUUAAAGUUGCAAUUCAAAUUUCUCUACCUACAUAAUGACAUGACCAAGUACAAACACAUUCAACCUGACACAAUCACAAAAACAUAGAUUGAUUGUAUGUUGCUUUUUGGUUUUACACUUGAACAAAUGCUCCACUAAGCUACAUUCAAUCAGUUCUGCCUUAACCCAUGAUAACUGACAACAUUGUUUUAAUGAAGGCGAUGUCGGAGGUGUAACUGCAUUGGAGCUGUCAAAUCACCAAACGCCUCCCGGCAUUAUAGCUGUCACGGACAUUGCCAUUGGAUGUGCAGAGACACAGUAGUAAUAAUCGCAUGCAGCCUUGUUACGAGCCGUCAAAUCGGUGAGCAGCUGCUCUUGUGAUCGUUGUCAAAAAGCCACACCUGCCCAUCUCGCAUUAUAAGUUCAAAACAAGAAAGUGUAGAGUAUAUUGAAACAAUUACUCUCAAUUUGAAAAAUCAAUAAACUAAAUCAUGAGGAUUUAUAUCAUCCUAAUCGAGGUGUAGAUUACAUCUCAAAUUCCAGUGAUUGAACUUGUAAACAAGGCUGCAUGGGGAUUUCUCUUAACGUUCCACUCCAUGCAGCCAAUGGCAAUGUCUGCUAUAGGUACAAUUUGAUAUUGAGAUAAAAAUGGCUGCAUUGGACCUUUAAAUGUAGCUAUUUGGAGUCUUUGGACCCGUUUACUCCCUUUGUAUAGCAGAAUAUUUGCUUGCUAAAUAACCUUUUAAGUACCUCUGUAAAUUCGUACAUUUUUCAAUGGUGAAUUGCUGUACACAGUUUAAGCACAGGAAUUUCACCAGUAUAUGUGGUGAUAAAACACAUGAAAGUUCAGACUGUUACAACUGCUGCAACCGUUAGUGCUCUAUUUGGAAACUCGGAAGUGAUUUUCCGCUAGUGGUGUAAAGUACAUAAGUAAAAAUACUUGAAAGUACUACUUAAGUCGUUUUUGGGAUAUCUGUACUUUACUAUUUAUAUUUUUGGCAACUUUUACUUCACUACAUUCCUAAAGAAAAUUCUAUACUUUUUACUCAAUACGUUUUCCCUGACACCCAAAAGUACUCGUUACAUUGGUAAUACAUAGCAGGACAGGAAAAUUGUCAAAUUCACACACUUAUCAAGAGAACAUCCCUGGUCAUUCCUACUGCCUCUGUUCUGACGGACUCACUUAACACAUGCUUUUUUUGUAAAUUUUGUCUGAGUGUUGAAGUGUGCCCCUGGCUAUCUGUAAAUUAAAAUAAACAAGAAAAUGAUGC